UCAUCUACUGUGUCCUUUGCUAUAACCUCAGAUGAUCAGUUAUGUACCAGAUACAUCAACAGCCAAGAAGAACAGCAUGAAAACGGUCUUUAGUUUGAAAGCUGAUUGCAUCAUGAACRUGAAUCACAGACUAACUUCACUUGCUUCAAGCAAGGUGUCUAAAAGCUGGAGUUAUAAACCACAGUCCCUGUUGAAGGUGGACGUAUAGCUGGAAAUCGGUGGUCCUGUAGGUAGAAUAUUAGGGAAUACUGCAGUAGCUCUGCUGACAGUGAGUUAUAAUUUACUCUGCAUGGAGUUUCACUGAUUUCAGAUGGAUGGCCUGUGGAGUACAAUGCUACCCAGCAUCAGACAGUCAUACAGCUGAACUGAAAGGUAAUCUCAUGUUAAUGAAUGUGGAUUCUGAGAAAAUUGUGGUAUUGACGUUAUGAAAAAAGCUGGUCACAUCUGAGGCAACAGUUUAUUUUUCAAUCAUAUUUAAUAAUUCUGUCCUCCUUUUUUCCUUCUUUCUUUGGUCUUCCUUUACUUUCCCCUUUUUGGACUAAAAUAGAUAUGUAGGAUUUUUUCUCACUUCUAGUGAGAGAAGUAACAUAUUUGGAAGACUUUCUUUUAGAAUUUCUGCUCUGCUGGAACAUGUUUUUUUGCCCUGUCAAACAGUGCAGCUCAAAAGACAUGCCAUCUCCUGUAACAAAACCACCGUGAAGCACAGUGAGAACUAGCCUGAACUGACACUGUAUAAACCGGGAUAUCAGCAGUGACUUAUCUGACCAGACUAACCUGCCAGCUCCAAAACUGUCAAAAGGUGUGGAGUUUGUCAAAGACAAGUCUUGAAGAAAUAAUGAACUUCCUUUUUUUUUCCUUUUGCACUCUCUUUCUUAAAUGUUGCUUGUCUUACUGAUCUCAGAAGGGCUAUAAGGAAUACUGUUAUUAAAAAUUUACCAUAAAAAAAAUCAAGCUAUUCUUUAUGAAAAUCAUCAUAAUUUAAAUUUGACCUUCUGAACUGUCCAAAAAAAUCUAAAUUAAUAUAAUUAUUCCCACUGUUCAACGCCUGUGACUUGCAUCUCAAGGGAUACUAAUUUUGAUGACUAUUUUCUGAAAAUAAUCACUUGAUGUUUAACAAAAGUGAAUUGGAAUGUCC
rnacentral:lncRNA from 1 species